CAUUGGUUUAGUGGUAAAAUUUCUGCCUCCCAUUCCAGCUGUGCUACAGCUCCGAAAGCGAAGAUCGCAGAAGCCCCGGGUUCGAUUCCCGGAU
rnacentral:ncRNA from 12 species